rnacentral:rRNA from 1 species
CCUACGGGGGGCAGCAGUGAGGAAUAUUGGUCAAUGGCCGGGAGGCUGAACCAGCCAAGCCGCGUGAAGGACGAAGGUGCCAAGCAUUGUAAACUUCUUUUGUCAAGGGACAAAACCAGGCUCGCGAGCCUGGCCGAGGGUACUUGAAGAAAAAGCAUCGGCUAACUCCGUGCCAGCAGCCGCGGUAAUACGGAGGAUCCGAGCGUUAUCCGGAUUUAUUGGGUUUAAAGGGGGCGUAGGUGGAUUGUUAAGUCAGUUGUGAAAGUUUGCGGCUCAACCGUAAAAUUGCCGUUGAAACUGGCAGUCUUGAGUAGAGUAGAGGUGGGCGGAAUGCGUGGUGUAGCGGUGAAAUGCUUAGAUAUCACGAAGAACUCCGAUUGCGAAGGCAGCUCACUGGACUGCAACUGACACUGAUGCUCGAAAGUGUGGGUAUCAAACAGGAUUAGAUACCCGGGUAGUC